GACGAACGCUGGCGGCGCGCCUAACACAUGCAAGUCGAACGGAGCUGCGAGAAGCUUGCUUUUCUUAGCUUAGUGGCGAACGGGUGAGUAACGCGUGAGUAACCUGCCCUGGAGUGGGGGACAACAGUUGGAAACGACUGCUAAUACCGCAUAAGCCCACGAUCCGGCAUCGGAUUGAGGGAAAAGGAUUUAUUCGCUUCAGGAUGGACUCGCGUCCAAUUAGCUAGUUGGUGAGGUAACGGCCCACCAAGGCGACGAUUGGUAGCCGGACUGAGAGGUUGAACGGCCACAUUGGGACUGAGACACGGCCCAGACUCCUACGGGAAGCAGCAGUGGGGGAUAUUGCACAAUGGGGGAAACCCUGAUGCAGCGACGCCGCGUGGAGGAAGAAGGUUUUCGGAUUGUAAACUCCUGUCGUUAGGGACGAUAAUGACGGUACCUAACAAGAAAGCACCGGCUAACUACGUG
rnacentral:rRNA from 1 species